rnacentral:rRNA from 1 species
AACGCUAGCUACAGGCUUAACACAUGCAAGUCGAGGGGCAGCAUUGGAGUAGCAAUACUUCAGAUGGCGACCGGCGCACGGGUGAGUAACACGUAUCCAACCUGCCGCUUACUCGGGGAUAGCCUUUCGAAAGAAAGAUUAAUACCCGAUGGUAUAAAGAGUUCGCAUGUUCUCUUUAUUAAAGAAUUUCGGUAAGCGAUGGGGAUGCGUUCCAUUAGAUAGUUGGCGGGGUAACGGCCCACCAAGUCUACGAUGGAUAGGGGUUCUGAGAGGAAGGUCCCCCACAUUGGAACUGAGACACGGUCCAAACUCCUACGGGAGGCAGCAGUGAGGAAUAUUGGUCAAUGGAUGAGAGUCUGAACCAGCCAAGUAGCGUGAAGGAUGACUGCCCUAUGGGUUGUAAACUUCUUUUACAAGGGAAUAAAGUGAGGGACGUGUCCCUUUUUGUAUGUACCUUAUGAAUAAGGAUCGGCUAACUCCGUGCCAGCAGCCGCGGUAAUACGGAGGAUCCAAGCGUUAUCCGGAUUUAUUGGGUUUAAAGGGAGCGUAGGUUGACAUAUAAGUCAGCUGUGAAAGUUUACGGCUCAACCGUGAAAUUGCAGUUGAUACUGUAUGUCUUGAGUGUACAAGAGGUGGGCGGAAUUCGUGGUGUAGCGGUGAAAUGCUUAGAUAUCACGAAGAACUCCGAUUG